AUGGAAGGUUCUAGCAAUUGUGAUGGAGAGAGUGUAGCGAUGAUCCCAAAUCACAAGACUCUCAAUAUUGAAUUGCCUUCUAGCUCUGACGUUGAUGUUAGCUCUAUGGUUUCGAUGAAGGAGGGUUGUAAAUCACCUUUGUCAUCAUGGGAUUCUGAACCUGAAGCUGAUAUCAUGGAUUAUGGUUUUUCGUGGGAGUUAGAAUAA